rnacentral:rRNA from 1 species
UACGAAGGGGGGCUAGCGUUGCUCGGAAUGACUGGGCGUAAAGGGCGCGUAGGCGGUUUGGACAGUCAGAUGUGAAAUUCCUGGGCUCAACCUGGGGGGCUGCAUUUGAUACGUUCGGACUAGAGUGGGGAAGAGGGUCGUGGAAUUCCCAGUGUAGAGGUGAAAUUCGUAGAUAUUGGGAAGAACACCGGUGGCGAAGGCGGCGACCUGGUCCUUGACUGACGCUGAGGCGCGAAAGCGUGGGGAGCAAACAGG